rnacentral:rRNA from 1 species
GCGGCGUGCCUAAUACAUGCAAGUCGAACGAACUCUGGUAUUGAUUGGUGCUUGCAUCAUGAUUUACAUUUGAGUGAGUGGCGAACUGGUGAGUAACACGUGGGAAACCUGCCCAGAAGCGGGGGAUAACACCUGGAAACAGAUGCUAAUACCGCAUAACAACUUGGACCGCAUGGUCCGAGCUUGAAAGAUGGCUUCGGCUAUCACUUUUGGAUGGUCCCGCGGCGUAUUAGCUAGAUGGUGGGGUAACGGCUCACCAUGGCAAUGAUACGUAGCCGACCUGAGAGGGUAAUCGGCCACAUUGGGACUGAGACACGGCCCAAACUCCUACGGGAGGCAGCAGUAGGGAAUCUUCCACAAUGGACGAAAGUCUGAUGGAGCAACGCCGCGUGAGUGAAGAAGGGUUUCGGCUCGUAAAACUCUGUUGUUAAAGAAGAACAUAUCUGAGAGUAACUGCUCAGGUAUUGACGGUAUUUAACCAGAAAGCCACGGCUAACUACGUGCCAGCAGCCGCGGUAAUACGUAGGUGGCAAGCGUUGUCCGGAUUUAUUGGGCGUAAAGCGAGCGCAGGCGGUUUUUUAAGUCUGAUGUGAAAGCCUUCGGCUCAACCGAAGAAGUGCAUCGGAAACUGGGAAACUUGAGUGCAGAAGAGGACAGUGGAACUCCAUGUGUAGCGGUGAAAUGCGUAGAUAUAUGGAAGAACACCAGUGGCGAAGGCGGCUGUCUGGUCUGUAACUGACGCUGAGGCUCGAAAGUAUGGGUAGCAAACAGGAUUAGAUACCCUGGUAGUCCAUACCGUAAACGAUGAAUGCUAAGUGUUGGAGGGUUUCCGCCCUUCAGUGCUGCAGCUAACGCAUUAAGCAUUCCGCCUGGGGAGUACGGCCGCAAGGCUGAAACUCAAAGGAAUUGACGGGGGCCUGCACAAGCGGUGGAGCAUGUGGUUUAAUUCGAAGCUACGCGAAGAACCUUACCAGGUCUUGACAUACUAUGCAAAUCUAAGAGAUUAGACGUUCCCUUCGGGGACAUGGAUACAGGUGGUGCAUGGUUGUCGUCAGCUCGUGUCGUGAGAUGUUGGGUUAAGUCCCGCAACGAGCGCAACCCUUAUUAUCAGUUGCCAGCAUUAAGUUGGGCACUCUGGUGAGACUGCCGGUGACAAACCGGAGGAAGGUGGGGAUGACGUCAAAUCAUCAUGCCCCUUAUGACCUGGGCUACACACGUGCUACAAUGGAUGGUACAACGAGUUGCGAACUCGCGAGAGUGAGCUAAUCUCUUAAAGCCAUUCUCAGUUCGGAUUGUAGGCUGCAACUCGCCUACAUGAAGUCGGAAUCGCUAGUAAUCGCGGAUCAGCAUGCCGCGGUGAAUACGUUCCCGGGCCUUGUACACACCGCCCGUCACACCAUGAGAGUUUGUAACACCCAAAGUCGGUGGGGUAACCUUUUAGGAACCAGCCGCCUAAGGUGGGACAGAUGAUUAGGGUGAAAU